GAUGAACGCUGGCGGCGUGCCUAAUACAUGCAAGUCGAGCGAACGGACGAGAAGCUUGCUUCUCUGAUGUUAGCGGCGGACGGGUGAGUAACACGUGGAUAACCUACCUAUAAGACUGGGAUAACUUCGGGAAACCGGAGCUAAUACCGGAUGAUAUUUUGAACCGCAUGGUUCAAAAGUGAAAGACGGUCUUGCUGUCACUUAUAGAUGGAUCCGCGCUGCAUUAGCUAGUUGGUAAGGUAACGGCUUACCAAGGCAACGAUGCAUAGCCGACCUGAGAGGGUGAUCGGCCACACUGGAACUGAGACACGGUCCAGACUCCUACGGGAGGCAGCAGUAGGGAAUCUUCCGCAAUGGGCGAAAGCCUGACGGAGCAACGCGGCGUGAGUGAUGAAGGUCUUCGGAUCGUAAAACUCUGUUAUUAGGGAAGAACAUAUGUGUAAGUAACUGUGCACAUCUUGACGGUACCUAAUCAGAAAGCCACGGAUAACUACGUG
rnacentral:rRNA from 1 species